UUUUAAUUCUCUAAGAUAUAGUUUUUUCCAAAAGAUGAAAUUAAAGUACUGAAAUUGAAGAGUUGCUUUCCCGGCAAAAUGAUAGACUACCCGCUGGUGGAGGACUUGUCGCGUCGCAUGCGGCAGCGCGGCGUCACCUAUAUACCAGGCUUUUUAAUGAAUACGCAUCGACUGACACGACUCUUUAAACCAAAAAUUCGUGUUAGUCGAACUCUACAUCGUGUUCCGGGGAGACUUAUGUAUAUAUUCGUGCUACAUAGGCGACACCGCAUCCACGCGACGCUCUACAUACGACGCGAAACUCUGCCACCAGCGGGUAAUCUAUCAUUUACCUAAAUAAAUCCAAGAAUGAAAUGUCAGGAAUGUAUGCUUGAGAGUGAAACAAGGAGAUAAUGUUAUAGUAUGAGAAUGCACAAUGAAAAUAAUAUUAGUUAAUUGCAAUUUAUUAAAACCAUAAUGGAAAAUUUGAAUAUUUAAAUAUAAUACAGAUAAACUUUUAUCCAAUACAAAAACAGACUAUGGCUGUGUGAGAAACCGGGACAUAAUGCUGACUGUGGCUGUGUUCAAAGUAUCGAGAUCACUAUUGCUAAGACUGUUUCUAUAAAAAUUGCUAAUCUGAAGCACUCUUAAUCGGAGUAGUCUUAGGAGAUAUUCUAGAGCUAAUACAUGCAUCAGAGCUCCG
rnacentral:lncRNA from 1 species